ACUUAGCAUAACAUGAAAAUCACAAAAUCACAGAUAGGUGCUUAUUGUGAUAACGUAAGGGAAAAAUUUGAUAUUACCUUACUAUAAGUGUUGUCUAAAUAACUGGUGCCAGAAGACUCGGUAACACCAGAAACGCGAACGUUAGUCGUCUUAAACAGGCGUAAAGGGUAAGUAGGCUGCUUUAAAUUUUUAUUUUUAUAAAAGCUAAUUAAUAAUUUUUGCUUAGUAAUAAUUUCUUGCUGCGCUAAUAACAAGGGGAUGGCAGGGGCGGAUUGCUUCGCAAUCAAGCUACUAAAAAUUUUCAGAUUAAUUUAUUAAAAUUAACACUCUUAAGUUUGAAUUGCUAGCUACUUGCGAAGCUAAGCUAAGAAAUUUAAUUGCUAGUGCUAGUAAGUGAAUAAUCAAUAGCCAACUUCUAAGCAAUUGAUAAUUAAAUUAACUGCUUGCUUAGAAGUUAGCAUCCCCUGCGAAGCUGCUGCGCAAUCCCCUUGUUAGUCGUAAGACUUACUAGCAGCAGAUACAACUAAAAACUUAAAUUAAAAAAUUAAAUAAAGAUAGAUAUACUUAAAGCUAGAAUCAUAAUUGAGAUAAACCAAAUAAUACUUAAGUGUAAGGGUAAAAUCUAAAAAUACUAAGUAGAAUACUAACGGUGAAAACUUUUUAUCUAGGAGUGAUUGACGCUGAGGUACGAAAGUGAGAACAGGGAAUAGGAUUAGAUACCCAGUUACCUCUCACCGUCAACGAUGAAUGGUAGUUGUUAGUAGUUAGUCUCGUUAGUAAAAUUAAUUCUCAAUAGCGUAGCAAUUAAAUUAACUAGCGAAGCAAUUUUAAUUAAAACUAGUGACGAUGUUAACGCGAUAACCAUUCCGCCUUGAGAGUACGGUUGCAAAACUGAAACCAAAAAAAUCAGUCGGUCUCGGAGC
rnacentral:rRNA from 1 species